AUGUUGUCAAUUCUCAUGUUUACUAUGAUAAUCUGGAUUUCACAGAUAGCACCUUGCAUUGACCUGGUCCUUUGCCAUUAUUGCUGCCUCUGCUCUCCCUCUUCUCUUGCACAGCAUGUAGCAGGUGGAAAACCUCCAGGUGUUAUGCAAGGUCAACACUUCAGAGUACUGAAGUGGCUCUGCAAUGGCUUUUAUGAGACUGUACUCCAAAGCAGAAAAGCCUUCUGGGAACCAAGCCUCAGGCUGGAUCCAUCCCUAACCAAAGUUGUGACUUACUCCAGGGAGAGUGGGAUGCUCCUUUUGUUCCUGAUGAAUGGCUACUUGUUUCUGCAAGCAAAUCAUGAAAUGCCAGAAAUUGCAAGUGAAAUACAGGGAUUUAUUCAUGAUGAAGACAACAAAUUCAGAAUCUCUCCACAAUUAAAAGUUUUCAGGUACACCAUGUUCAGUUCAGUACCUAAAACUCUGGGAUUUGGCUGGAAAAUAUUAGACUAAUCCCCAGUAACUUUCAGGAUCUAAGAUCAUCUGAAUUAUUUAUAAGGUAUGUUUUGAAACAGAUUUGGAAUAUGGAUAUUUUAACAAAUGUUUGUGUAACACAUAGACUUUCCAAUCUAAUGAUUAGGAAGAGUAGGAUCCCCCGGUAUUAAAGGCACACUAACAGCCUUUUAAAAAAUAAAUCUUUAGGAGGCAGGACUGCUGCA
rnacentral:lncRNA from 1 species